GGGGCGGACGUCCACCGCCUAGUGCGCGCCGAGGAGCGUCUCCCCGGCAUGCUCCGCUGGGCUCGAGUCUGGAGCGUCCCCCAUGGGGGGCCUGGGCCCUCCCGUUCCGGCUUCUCGAGGGUGUCCAUUGCUCCCAGUAGCGGCGGUGGCGGCGGCGCCGAGCCCAGGCCGCUGCCGCUUUCCUACACGCUUCUGGACGGGGAGCCGUCCCACCCGGCCCUCGUCUUUCUGCACGGGCUCUUCGGCUGCAAAACCAACUUCAACUCCAUCGCCAAGGCCCUGGCCCAGCAGACAGGUCGGAGGGUGCUGACGGUGGAUGCUCGGAACCAUGGUGACAGCCCCCACAGCCCCAACAUGAGCUAUGAAGCCAUGAGCCAGGACCUGCAGGACCUCCUGCCCCAGCUGGGCCUGGUGCCCUGCGUCCUCGUUGGCCACAGCAUGGGAGGCAAGACGGCCAUGCUGCUGGCACUGCAGAGGCCAGAGCUGGUGGAGCGUCUGAUUGCCGUGGACAUCAGCCCAGCGGAGACCACAUCCGUCUCAGACUUACCGACCUACAUGGCAGCCAUGAGGGCUAUAGACAUCCCGGCUGAGGUGCCCCGUUCCCGUGCCCGCAAACUGGCGGACGAGCAGCUCAGCCCUGUCAUCAAGGACAUGGCCGUGCGGCAGUUCUUGCUCACCAACCUGGUGGAGGUGGACGGGCGCUUCGUUUGGAGGGUGAACUUGGAUGCCUUGGCCCAGCAUGUGGACGCCAUCAUGGCCUUCCCCCCGCUACAGGACGCCUACCCAGGGCCAACCCUCUUCCUCCUUGGUGGCAACUCCCAAUACGUGCACCCCAGCCACCACCCUGAGAUUAGGCGGCUCUUCCCUCAAGCCCAGAUGCAGACUGUGCCAGAUGCUGGCCACUGGAUCCACGCUGACCGCCCACAGGACUUUGUGGCUGCCAUCCGAGGCUUCCUAUUCUGACUCUGGACCUGCUGCCUCACCAGCUGCUGCAUGUCCUCCUGGGGACAGGAGAGCAGGUUCGGGGUUGGCCCCGCACCCCACUCCUCCCUGUGCCCCCCGGGCCCGGCUGGCUUUUCCACCCUACCUCCCAAGCCUCCACCUCCUGCCUCAGCCUCAGUUUCUCCUCCACGACCUCCAGCAGCUGGGCCUCCACAGCUCGCAGCUUGGCCCUGCACGCGUCCAGCUCAGCCUCCACCGCCCGCUUCCUGCUUGGGUGGUGGGGGAGUGUGGGGAUGACUUUCCUUCCAGGAAUGCCUGGCGUCCCUGCCACUCCUCUAGCAGGACGCAGCCCUCAGGGCAAGCCACCCACUGCCUCCCCGACUCUGCAGCAGCUGCCCCUCACUUGGCAAUGGCUUCAUCCCGUUCCUGGAGGACUUGGUCCAGCGAAGGCUCUGUCUGCGUGUCCCCCAGUGCUCCAGCCACUUGGGAUUCUGGGCUCCGUAGCAGGCUGACGGAGGAGGGGGCGGUGACCUGGGACUUGCCUGGAUGAGGUGCCCCGGGGCGGGGUCUAGGGUGUCCUCUACCUGCCCUCCAGUGCCCCAGUCUCAUGAACCUCUGGAAAAUAGAUCAGGGGGCUGGGGUCAUGCUGAGAGGGCGGCAGGCCUGGCAAGAAGAGUGAGCAGGGCCUGUGGAUCCUCCGAAGAGGAAAGGAGUUCUCACCCAUGCCCCAGAGAGGGACAGGGCCUUUUCAGCAGGCUUCUGUGGUGGGGAUCCGGUCCUCCACUCAGCUCUGAAGGUCAGCGCUUCCUUCCAGGCCCCCAGGAGGCCAGGGCUCCUCCAGCAGCUGGACUGACGGCUUCUUUGAUGGACCCACAGG